rnacentral:rRNA from 1 species
GAUGAACGCUGGCGGCGUGCCUAAUACAUGCAAGUCGAGCGAACAGACGAGGAGCUUGCUCCCCUGACGUUAGCGGCGGACGGGUGAGUAACACGUGGAUAACCUACCUAUAAGACUGGGAUAACUUCGGGAAACCGGAGCUAAUACCGGAUAAUAUAUUGAACCGCAUGGUUCAAUAGUGAAAGACGGUUUUGCUGUCACUUAUAGAUGGAUCCGCGCCGCAUUAGCUAGUUGGUAAGGUAACGGCUUACCAAGGCAACGAUGCGUAGCCGACCUGAGAGGGUGAUCGGCCACACUGGAACUGAGACACGGCCCAGACUCCUACGGGAGGCAGCAGUAGGGAAUCUUCCGCAAUGGGCGAAAGCCUGACGGAGCAACGCCGCGUGAGUGAUGAAGGUCUUCGGAUCGUAAAACUCUGUUAUUAGGGAAGAACAAAUGUGUAAGUAACUAUGCACGUCUUGACGGUACCUAAUCAGAAAGCCACGGCUAACUACGUG